rnacentral:tRNA from 1 species
GAACAUAUGGUGUAAUUGGCUAACAUAUCGCCCUGUCAUGGCGAAGUUCGGGGUUCGAAUCCCCUAUGUUCC